UCUCCCACGGCGGCGACUCUCGGUCCCGGGCUCCGUGCCUUUCGGGCGACACGGCGACCUCGGGCGAAGGGCUGCGUCGGCCGGGCAUGGCGGCGUGGAGCCCGGCCGCAGCAGCUCCUCUGCUCCGCGGGAUCCGCGGGCUUCCUCUUCUCCACUGUGCCCAGCGGAUGUUUGCCUCGCAGACUGAGGGGGAGCUCAAAGUGACCCAAAUUCUCAAAGAAAAGUUUCCUCGAGCAACAGUGAUCAAAGUCACCGACAUUUCAGGAGGCUGUGGGGCAAUGUAUGAAAUCCAAAUCGAGUCAGAAGAAUUUAAGGAGAAGAGAACUGUCCAGCAGCACAGGAUGGUGAAUCAGCAUCCAGGGGGCCACUGAGCCGGGAGGGGAAGAGCCUUGGGCGGCAGUUAUACAAACAAAAAGAUCUCCAGCGAGCAGAACCACCAGUUAAACAAACGGAUAAACGGGGACCUACUGGAAGAAAACAAAGACUACUUUGGGUGGAAAUGGAAAUUCCUGAUGCUUUGGAAAUUAUUUCAAUACUGUUUCUAACCCUUCAAGCAUUGACAAAAGGAACCGAAACUACGAAAUGUCUUGAACUGUGUUUAGUCAAUGUCCCUGUCUUCAUCUGUUCUCAGCACUGAGGCAUGCAACUUAAAAUAAUGAUCAUAAAUCUAUGCACAGGGCACCCCCUGCCCCCCGCUCUAUUCAAACCAGUUGAGCUAUUUUCUGAAUCAAAUUUGCACAACUCUAAAGAAAAAAAAAACUUCAAAGAACAGGAUGUUUUUCAAGGCAGCCUUUUUAGAAGCUAAUGUGGACUUGCCCUGUUUGGCUUUUUCAGGAUUUGGAUGGCCUUCUUUGUGGUUAACAGUUUGACAUGGAGCUCAUCAGCUGAUAUAGGAAAGUCAGAUUCCAGUAUCUUCAGUCUCCCAUUCGUUUGGUUAAAUGCCUAAAGGUGGUAAUCCGCCGGCACUGAAGUGGAGGCAGGCAUUUACGGCUCAUUAAAACAAAUCCCCAUGGUUUAAGGGUCAGCUGAUUUUCUUGCUACAAUACUUAAAAAGCAGAACUGGAACAAUUCCUCUGACGAGGUCUGCCUCAAGAUAAGCAGCUUUAUCAAUAUUGUGUCAGUAAAGGCAUAAUAAUUCAAAAGAAAUUUUAAUUACAAAAUUUUAAAAAUCAUACAGUUGUAAGUCAGGCUGUCAUUAAGUAAAGUCCACUAGGUUUCACUUGCUAGCCCUUACCAAAUAUGAGCUAACACACUGCUGGAACCUCGAAACACGGGCCAUGCAGAGCAAGGAGCGUGAGUCCCUCCUGCCAUUUUCGGAUCUUCUGAUCUGAGCUUAUGAAAUGAGCCCAUAAUGUGGAGGCAAGAAGCUAAUCUUCCUGUCUAAAAGUAGGAAGGAUAUGAAUAAACAUUUUUUCAAAGCAAAAACAAGGGAUAUCUCAACCUGACACCUUCCUUCUAACCCAUUUAUAGCUGGUUCUCUGUGAUCUGUGGGUAGAUCUCAUUCCUGAGCAGAAUUAAACACUGGAUUUGGUAGCUGUCCAUGGACGUGACUAGUUUCACUAUCCAUUCUCUGCUUCCCUGCCAAUUUAAGAAUGCAGAUCCUAUGGGGCCAGCUUUUUAAAGAUGGUGAGAAAAUUUUAUUUUAUUCUGGCUAAAGUUAAUCAUACUAUUUUCUAAAGUGAGCCUUUACAUUUAUUGCCUUUAAAAAAUUCCAGUGAGCUUCAAACUGAGAUUUUAAAGGUGUCAAUGAUUUAAAAAUCUACCAUUUGAAAAGCAGUCUGCUGAAUUCUGGGUCUGUGUGUGAAUGUAGUUACUGCCACACUGCAUUCCGGGUAUAGCCUAGCCCAGGGGAGUGUGGGCUGAAUACAGCUCCUCUUGCCACAAAACCUCCAACAGAAACAGAACCAAGGCGGCUGAAAAGGAGACCUGCACUGCUUGCAUAUAAGGAUGUCUAUACAGCAUUAGAACAUCUGAUCUACUGUGUCAAUUGGGUGGCGGGAAGAGCAAUUGGUGUCAUAUGUCAAAUCAACAAGUUAACUGCCCAAACUUUUCUGCACUUCAAUUGGUUAUUUAGGAUCAAAUAGACAUGACAAGAUAGUCAUGAUGAAGUAACCACGGUCUUAACCCUAUUCAAGGAAAAAUACAAACAUUUAGUACCAAUAUUUUUAUGUCUUUACUCAAGAAGGGUGACAUUUUAUUUUGUCCAUGAUUUCCUCUAAGUGAAUAAUGGUAAAAGGUAAUAGACUAGCACAGUUCAAUUUAUCAAGUUACAAAAUGUAACAUUCUAAUAUACUUCCAUUUACAGCAGACACUGUAUAUAAAUAAGAGAGCAGAAGUCUCUGCGUGCCCAUGAUGCUAUCCUUUUUGAUUCAGAAAUAAUGAUUAGGAGGUAGAAUCUGACUUUUUUGUCAUUUAUAGAUGUUGCCAAAAGAAGAAAUGUUUAUCAGAUUUCAAAUGACACAGUUGUAAAUUGGCAGUUGGCAGCUUUCAAUAUAAAACUUCACCUUAGCAAGAUAAACUUGACCAGAGUGAAAACUGGCCAAGGAAAAUUGAGGUGUACGAUGCCUAAAAGGCCACUAUGUGACUUUAUAAAAAUAUAUACUAUGGUGCUCUCCAUUCGUCCAAUCUUUCGAAGAACUGCCUGUAACAGUCACGGUUGUGAGAAGAAACAACUCCAGUUCUUUCUUAAAAAGUUUUUUUUAAAUUUUUUUUUUUUAAGAUUUUA